GAUGAACGCUGGCGGCGUGCCUAAUACAUGCAAGUCGAGCGAACAGAUAAGGAGCUUGCUCCUUUGACGUUAGCGGCGGACGGGUGAGUAACACGUGGGUAACCUACCUAUAAGACUGGAAUAACUCCGGGAAACCGGGGCUAAUGCCGGAUAACAUUUAGAACCGCAUGGUUCUAAAGUGAAAGAUGGUUUUGCUAUCACUUAUAGAUGGACCCGCGCCGUAUUAGCUAGUUGGUAAGGUAACGGCUUACCAAGGCAACGAUACGUAGCCGGCCUGAGAGGGUGAUCGGCCACACUGGAACUGAGACACGGUCCAGACUCCUACGGGAGGCAGCAGUAGGGAAUCUUCCGCAAAGGGCGAAAGCCUGACGGAGCAACGCCGCGUGAGUGAUGAAGGUCUUCGGAUCGUAAAACUCUGUUAUUAGGGAAGAACAAAUGUGUAAGUAACUGUGCACGUCUUGACGGUACCUAAUCAGAAAGCCACGGCUAACUACGUG
rnacentral:rRNA from 1 species